rnacentral:rRNA from 1 species
CCUACGGGGGGCUGCAGUCGAGGAUCAUUCGCAAUGCGCGAAAGCGUGACGAUGCGACGCUGCGUGGAGGAUGAAGGCCUUCGGGUUGUAAACUCCUGUCAUCCGGGAUCAAUGCCGCGGGGGUGAAUAAUCUCCGCGGAGGGAUAGUACCGGAAGAGGAAGCCACGGCUAACUCUGUGCCAGCAGCCGCGGUAAUACAGAGGUGGCGAGCGUUGUUCGGAUUUACUGGGCGUAAAGGGUGCGUAGGUGGCUCCGUGUGCCGGGCGUGAAAUCUUGCUGCUCAACGGCAAAACUGCGUCCGAGACUGCGGAGCUAGAGUGCAGGAGAGGAAAGCGGAAUUCUUGGUGUAGCGGUGGAAUGCGUUGAUAUCAAGAGGAACACCGGUGGCGAAGGCGGCUUUCUGGAAUGCAACUGACACUGAGGCACGAAAGUUGGGGGAGCAAACAGGAUUAGAUACCCCUGUAGUC